rnacentral:rRNA from 1 species
UUGUCUCAAAGAUUAAGCCAUGCAUGUCUCAGUACAAGCCUAAGUAAGGUGAAACCGCGAAAGGCUCAUUAAAUCAGUUAUGGUUCCUUAGAUCGUACCCACACUUACUUGGAUAACUGUGGUAAUUCUAGAGCUAAUACAUGCCAACAGAGCUCGAACCGGAUGACGGAACGAGUGCUUUUAUUAGAUCAAAACCAAUCGGUGGCGGGUCCGCUCGUCAUCGCCCAGCUUGGUGACUCUGAAUAACUUGAAGCUGAUCGCACGGUCUCGCACCGGCGACGCAUCUUUCAAAUGUCUGCCUUAUCAACUGUCGAUGGUAGGUUCUGCGCCUACCAUGGUUGUAACGGGUAACGGGGAAUCAGGGUUCGAUUCCGGAGAGGGAGCCUGAGAAACGGCUACCACAUCCAAGGAAGGCAGCAGGCGCGCAAAUUACCCACUCCCGGCACGGGGAGGUAGUGACGAAAAAUAACGAUACGGGACUCAUCCGAGGCCCCGUAAUCGGAAUGAGUACACUCUAAACCCUUUAACGAGGAUCAAUUGGAGGGCAAGUCUGGUGCCAGCAGCCGCGGUAAUUCCAGCUCCAAUAGCGUAUAUUAAAGUUGUUGCGGUUAAAAAGCUCGUAGUCGGAUCUGUGUCUCGCGCCGCCGGUUCAUCGUCCGCGGUGUCAACUGGCGUGUCGUGAGACGUAUUGCCGGUGGGCUUAGCCCUUCUGGGGCGGCCCAACUAAUCCCGCCGCGGUGCUCUUCACUGAGUGUCGAGGUAGGCCGGCACGUUUACUUUGAACAAAUUAGAGUGCUUAAAGCAGGCUAAAACAUCGCCUGAAUAUUGUGUGCAUGGAAUAAUGGAAUAGGACCUCGGUUCUAUUUUGUUGGUUUUCGGAACCCCGAGGUAAUGAUUAAUAGGAACGGAUGGGGGCAUUCGUAUUGCGACGUUAGAGGUGAAAUUCUUGGAUCGUCGCAAGACGAACAGAAGCGAAAGCAUUUGCCAAAAACGUUUUCAUUGAUCAAGAACGAAAGUCAGAGGUUCGAAGGCGAUCAGAUACCGCCCUAGUUCUGACCAUAAACUAUGCCAGCUAGCGAUCCGCCGACGUUCCUCCGAUGACUCGGCGGGCAGCUUCCGGGAAACCAAAGCUUUUGGGUUCCGGGGGAAGUAUGGUUGCAAAGCUGAAACUUAAAGGAAUUGACGGAAGGGCACCACCAGGAGUNGAGCCUGCGGCUUAAUUUGACUCAACACGGGAAACCUCACCAGGCCCGGACACCGGAAGGAUUGACAGAUUGAGAGCUCUUUCUUGAUUCGGUGGGUGGUGGUGCAUGGCCGUUCUUAGU